rnacentral:misc_RNA from 1 species
ACGAGUAUAACUCUCUAAACCAUUGUUAACCUACUGUAUCCGUUUCCUUCGGCGGACGGCUCUGCCUAACGCGACCCCUGGGGGAGAGACCGGGGCAAACUCUUAUUAUUAUGGUUUCUGCUGAGUAUACUUAUUCAAUAAGUAA